rnacentral:rRNA from 1 species
AUUGAACGCUGGCGGCGUGCCUUACACAUGCAAGUCGAACGGUAACAGGUUAAGCUGACGAGUGGCGAACGGGUGAGUAAUGUAUCGGAACGUGCCCAGUCGUGGGGGAUAACUGCUCGAAAGAGCAGCUAAUACCGCAUACGACCUGAGGGUGAAAGCGGGGGACCGUAAGGCCUCGCGCGAUUGGAGCGGCCGAUAUCAGAUUAGCUAGUUGGUGAGGUAAAGGCUCACCAAGGCGACGAUCUGUAGCUGGUCUGAGAGGACGACCAGCCACACUGGGACUGAGACACGGCCCAGACUCCUACGGGAGGCAGCAGUGGGGAAUUUUGGACAAUGGACGCAAGUCUGAUCCAGCCAUGCCGCGUGCGGGAAGAAGGCCUUCGGGUUGUAAACCGCUUUUGUCAGGGAAGAAACGGGUUUUUCUAAUACAGAGACCUAAUGACGGUACCUGAAGAAUAAGCACCGGCUAACUACGUGCCAGCAGCCGCCGUAAGAC